rnacentral:lncRNA from 1 species
GGGGUCCUUGCAGUGCAAUUAGUGUCCUUAGACACAGACACCAGAAGGCUUGCUUACUACCUCAGUCUAUCGUGUGAGGACACGGGGAGGAGAUGACAGUCCAUAAGCCAUGAAGAGAGUCCUUAUGAGGAGCCGCGUGGGUGGGUCCUUGACCUUGGGCUUCCCAAGUUCCAGAACUGUGAGUAAUAAAGACUGGAGUUUAAAAGUACCCCAUCUAUGGUGUUUCUACUGUAGCAGCCCGCAAUGAAGACAGAGCACCUAGCUUCCUGUCGUGCACCUAUCUGCCACAGACCUGUGCGUUGGCACUACCUGACCAUGGAUUUGGGCUCUCCUGUUGGACAGUAGUCUUUGUCAACAGACAUCACAGAAAUAGACCUGGAGGGCAUAAUCUGAUGGUGCUAGGUUUGGAAGAGGCUGAGGACAUUCCUAAUACUACAAGGCUUCAAUGGAAACAAGUUCUGGGACCUUCCAGGCUCAAGUAAAGAAUAGAAAAUAAAAGCAACAGUUGCAGACAGCGAUUGGUUGGCAAAAUCCAAGAGGUAAAGCUGGGAAGAGAGAGCCUAUUUAAAGGGUUUCUUUGAGCAUCAUCUCCAACACUGCACAGACACAUCGAGGUCAAGG